CAAGACUCCAAGUGUGGCCCCAGGGGCUUGGCCUGUGGUAAUUCCUGACACAGUAGUUCUGGGAAGUUGAUUUACCCAAUAACCCUCCCUGCAUGGGCUCAGUUUAGUUUGUGGCUUACUAUAAAUAAACAUUUGUUCAACGAACACAACUGAAUGGGCAGGCUAGCUUGGCUAAUAGUAUCUAUGAUUUAGCUACUCUAGAGCCCUCCAAAGAUAUCAGGUGUGCCUUAUCCAUUAGCACAACGAGGCACAGGGCUGAGCAGGUGAAGAGAGUACACAGCUGUGGUCUGACCUGCUCAAUAUCCCUUCUUCCUGAAACAGAACCUAUCUUUUCUUCUUGGGGAGCCACCCCUCCCCUACUCUUAGCCCUUGGCUUAGGUUCCUCUUUUAAGACUCAGUUCUACCAGGAGGUAACCUCUGGUAAAUUCUCAAACCCCGGGACACAAUUUGAACCAAUGAGAUGCAAUUCAAUACGUGGAGCCCCUGGGCCAGAGCUGCUCUCUUGCUAGAGAACUUUGAGAUUGUAUAUCUGUAAUUAUUGGGGUUUUAUCUUCUCUCCAAGAAAGCCUCAGUAAGGAUGAAGACAACAGGAUAAAGCAGAACCAAGAGAGGGAGAGACACCAUUUGAGCUCUCCUGACACCAUUUGAGCUCCUCCUUCUCCAGGUUGGCUCCAAACCAGCAGAAGCUGAAUAAAGGACCGUGAACUUGGAAUAACUGUGGGACACUAGACUCUUACUGGUCCUAACCGAAGACUUGUUCCCAAAUGGUGAAAUUAAUUAAGCAUUUAUUCAGAAUCUCCACUUCCUGCUAGUUGUCCAUCUGGCGUGGCAGCAGCUCCUUCCUGCAAAGCAAUGUUGAAGAAGCAAUGGAAGCAAGAAGGAAGCAUGGAUUCUAGAAACUGAUGACAAACCACUUACCCCUAUUGCUCUUCUUCCUAAAGCUAAAGGAUCAAACUGCAUCAUGGAAGCUGCACACGAUGACACCCUGUCUGGAAAGUUUUUGCCAGACGGCAAAAGACUGCAAGCAGAAUAUCCCUUCGCCAUUUCUCAUCCAGGCCUGGCCGUUGUCUGAAAGCAAACCUCAAGGACAGGACUUUUUGGACUCUGCAGCCUCUCCAGGCUGCUGCUCCACCACAUGAAGUCCAGCAGGUGGCAGUGCACCCCGCACAGACCCGGCUUGCCUGUCUUGGCCCGAGGGAGUCCGUUUGAUGCGCAGUCGGGAAGUGGGUCUGCACGCACCUCGCUGCAGCUGUGGCAGACGCAAGCGAUGACACACAGGCUUGACGAGGGCCUUUGUCAGAAGCAAUGGGGAUCUGGCGUCACCGCACAAUGGAAAACAAAGUGCUUCUGCCUGGCUGGCCAGAAUGCACGUUUGCUCACUAUUGAUGCCGGGGCAUUUACAGGCAGAAUGAGUUCAUGUGAAAUUUCAGGGUCUGCCAUGACUCAGAAUCACUUUCUGUAAACCAGAGUCAACAUUACAUUUCGCUUUACUCUGAGCCAUUCCUUGAGUUUUUAGGUCACCAGUUGUUUUUGUACUAACCGAAGAGAUUUGAGUAUUUUUUAUGUACCUUAUUUUUAUUAUUAUUUUUAGGGCAUUACCAAUUUGGGACGGAUCUGUAGUGUGAGAGAUUGUUGUCACUCUUAGCUCCAAACAUAGAUUGGCUUUAUAUAUUAUUUACAUGUUCAGAAUUAUAUUGUGUAGAAAUUCAAGUGAAACUUGCAAAAUACUUUUCUGGCAGGAAGCCCUGGAGAGGAUCGUUCAUGGAAACAAGGAUGACGACUGUGGUAAGAAAUGCAGGUGACUCGUGAGUGGGCAGGGAGUGGAAGAGAAGAUGGCUGGAAGGUUUUAGCAUUCAGAAAAAAAAUGGAGACAACUAGAGUUGAUCUGAGGAUUGUGGCAGAAUUCAAUAUUGGGGCAAAGAAACAAGAUGGAGGUUAGAAAUUAGAAACAGCAGAGCUCCGCAGGUUGGAAAGGAUUUGAGCAAGAGAACAAAAAGGAGCCUGCUAAUAGCACCCUGGGUUUACAUCAAGAGAAGCACCUGGAGAGAAUUAACUCAGGAGGAGGUAGGGGCAUGGGAAACCUUUUCAUCUCCAACAGCCGGCAGGAGCAGCAGCUGGCCUGAACUUGAAGGUAUACCAGGUAGCUUGCCUGGGCCAGGAGAAGGUGAUUCUCUUCUAUGCCUCUCUCCAGUGCUCUGCUUCUGAUGCUGCUCCUCUACCCGUAGUGCGGGGAAGAUAUAUCCCUAAGAAGUUCCCUGCACCCCCAUUCCUUGUUCUGGCUAACUGGUCCCCUAGGAAUUUUUCUCCUAAUUUUCAAUUCCCCUUCUCACCUGGUGAAAUCUUAAAUCUUACUGUUCAAUAAAAGUUCUUGUACC